AGUUGGGACUCACACCUGAGUGAGAUGGAGGGAUUCGGCCUCUCUGGACUGCUGCAAAGUAACCGGCGACAGAGUGAAGACCUGCAGCGUCCUGGUGGGGGUUUUCUGCUCUUUCAACCACUUGGAAUCCCCCGGGAUGACAAAACAUUUUGACCUUGUGUAGUUCGACGGAAUGUUUUGCCUCACAGAAGAUUCACGAACGUCAAAGGAGCCAAAAGGUCAGGAAUGCAGUUGCUCUCAGCGUGAAGUCAACUGUGGCGAAGUCUGUACAUUCUCAACACAGUCGGGAGUCCAGAGCCACCAGAGAGAGGCAGAGAAACCUCCAUCACACUCACCUGAACACACACACACACACACACACACAC